rnacentral:lncRNA from 1 species
AUGUUACAUUUGGUUUUGUCACGGACAGCAAACAUUAACAUCUCUCAAUUUCCUGAAGAGGCAGACGACACCUCUGAAGCCACAACAGCCACGACCAUCCCAAACACCCCAACACACACUCUGCAAGGAUCACACUUUGCAAAUUUGAUCACACUGUUAGUUCCUGUCACUUUUGGGUUGGUCACUGCCACCAUACUUGGACUGUUCUUUUACUGCAGACAACGAAGGAGGACAGUCCCAAAACAGCAUCAGAUUGCAGGCAUAAGCAUAGAGUUUUUGGAGAAUUACUUAAAUUUGAUUCCAUCACAUUCACAGGUGCUGACUACUACACCAGUGUGAAACAAUAACUCAAGCUUCCUGUUACUCAGG